rnacentral:rRNA from 2 species
AAACUUUCAACAACGGAUCUCUUGGUUCUGGCAUCGAUGAAGAACGCAGCGAAAUGCG